rnacentral:tRNA from 1 species
GUCUCUGUAGCGCAAUGGAUUGUGUGUUGAACUUCUAAUUCAAAGGUCGUGGGUUCGAAUGAUACCUGAGAUU